rnacentral:rRNA from 1 species
GUGCCAGCCGCCGCGGUAAUACGAAGGGGCUAGCGUUGUUCGGAAUUACUGGGCGUAAAGCGCACGUAGGCGGACAUUUAAGUCAGGGGUGAAAUCCCAGAGCUCAACUCUGGAACUGCCUUUGAUACUGGGUGUCUUGAGUAUGGAAGAGGUAAGUGGAAUUCCGAGUGUAGAGGUGAAAUUCGUAGAUAUUCGGAGGAACACCAGUGGCGAAGGCGGCUUACUGGUCCAUUACUGACGCUGAGGUGCGAAAGCGUGGGAGCAAACAGGAUUAGAUACCCUGGUAGUCCACGCCGUAAACGAUGAAUGUUAGCCGUCGGGCAGUAUACGUGUUCGGUGCGCAGCUAACGCAUAAAC